rnacentral:misc_RNA from 1 species
GAUGAAGAACGUAGCGAAAUGCGAUAAGUAAUGUGAAUUGCAGAAUUCAGUGAAUCAUCGAAUCUUUGAACGCACAUUGCGCCCCCUGGUAUUCCGGGGGGCAUGCCUGUCCGAGCGUCAUUACAACCCUCAAGCUCAGCUUGGUGUUGGGCCCCGCCGCCCCGGCGGGCCCUAAAGUCAGUGGCGGUGCCGUCCGGCUCCGAGCGUAGUAAUUCUUCUCGCUCUGGAGGUCCGGUCGUGUGCUCGCCAGCAACCCCCAAUUUUUUUCAGGUUGACCUCGGAUCAGGUAGGGAUACCCGCUGAACUUAAGCAUAUCAUAGCGGAGGA